rnacentral:rRNA from 1 species
CCUAACACAUGCAAGUCGAACGGGAAGCGGUGCAUAUUGCUUCGGUGAUAAUGUGCCGUGGAGAGUGGCGAACGGGUGCGUAACACGUAGGUAACCUGCCCUGAAAGGGGGGAUAACCACGGGAGACUGUGGCUAAUACCGUAUAAUCUCGCCGUGGCGGUGGUUACGGUGAGGAAAGCUGAGGCGAUUUGGGAGGGGCCUGCGGUCGAUUAGCUGGUUGGUGGGGUAAAGGCCCACCAAGGCGAUGAUCGAUAGCUGUUCUGAGAGGAAGACCAGCCACACGGGAACUGAGACACGGUUCCGACUCCUACGGGGGGCAGCAGUGAGGAAUAUUGCGCAAUGGGGGGAGCCCUGACGCAGCAACGCCGCGUGGAGGACGAAGGUUUUCGGAUUGUAAACUCCUUAACUGGGGGAAGAGAGAGGACGGUACCCCAGGACGAAGACACGGCUAACUAGGUGCCAGCAGCCGCGGUAAUACCUAGGUGUCGAGCGUUAUCCGGAAUUACUGGGCGUAAAGGGUGCGCAGGCGGUGUUACAAGUCCGGCGUGAAAGCUUCUGGCUUAACUGGGAGAGGACGUCGGAAACUGUAGUGCUAGAGUGAAU